rnacentral:misc_RNA from 1 species
AGAUCUUAAUGCGCUUUGGAGCAAGCUUGUCAACGGAAUUUAUACUUCCUUCUGGAAUGCCAAACAAGGAAGACGCAGAUCUUAGAUAUGGCAAGGAUUACUAGUCGGGAGGGAGGCCAUCAAGGAUGGGGUGAGAAUGAAUAUUGAAGACAGGCUCUUGACUCUCAUGUGGUCAGAUUUGUGGAUUCGCUCUGCUGAAGAUUUUAAAGUUCAAAAACUGGCAAAUUAUCCAGCAAGAGUGAAUAAAGUUGCAGAUCUUAUUGACCAUGGAAAGUUGAAAUGGAAGCUAAUUUAGUUAGAAGCUUAUUCAGUCCCACUAAUGCUCGAGUAGUGCUGUCAAUCCCAAUUACCCCUUGGAGAUGUCAAGA